rnacentral:rRNA from 1 species
UGUCCAGACUCCUACGGGAGGCAGCAGUGGGGAAUAUUGCACAAUGGGGGAAACCCUGAUGCAGCGACGCCGCGUGAGUGAAGAAGUAUUUCGGUAUGUAAAGCUCUAUCAGCAGGGAAGAAAUAGCGACCUUUGGGUCGCCAGACGGUACCUGAUUAAGAAGCCCCGGCUAACUACGUGCCAGCAGCCGCGGUAAUACGUAGGGGGCAAGCGUUAUCCGGAUUUACUGGGUGUAAAGGGAGCGUAGGCGGCGAUGCAAGUCAGAAGUGAAAGCCCGGGGCUCAACUCCGGGACUGCUUUUGAAACUGUAUGGCUAGAUUGCAGGAGAGGCAAGUGGAAUUCCUAGUGUAGCGGUGAAAUGCGUAGAUAUUAGGAGGAACACCAGUGGCGAAGGCGGCCUGCUGGGCUUUAACUGACGCUGAGGCUCGAAAGCGUGGGGAGCAAACAGGAUUAGAUACCCCGGUAC